rnacentral:sRNA from 12 species
AGCGAAGCCGUCGCUAUAUAAGGGAAAAUCAUUUAAAGAUAGUGAAUGACUGCGGUAUUACUAGCCGACGCAAUAAAUUAGUAGGGAUUAUACCAGCGUACCUAUUUCAAGCUAUAUAACCCCUAAAGGGUAGAAGAUGUAGCGACGCCCAUUCCGCUUAGCGAUGAAAUAGCGGAUAAAUCAGCUACGACGGGUAUGGUUUAAUCGCUAGAUUUCGAUUCUAGCAGCUGCGAAAGUGGCGGGAUUAUAUAGACGUAUCAGCAAUGAUACGAUACGUAGGGCAUGGAUUAAGACGCGUAAUAAUAUAUACGAUAGUAGAAUAUCGGCUAUAAAUA